rnacentral:piRNA from 1 species
UGCACCACACCCUGUACAGAGUAUCACC